GAUGAACGCUAGCGGCAGGCCUAAUACAUGCAAGUCGAACGGUGUCUUCGGACAUAGUGGCGCACGGGUGUGUAACACGUAUGCAACCUACCCUACAUUGGGGGAUAGCCUUUCGAAAGGGAGAUUAAUACCGCAUAAGACAGUAGCUGGGCAUCCAGCAGCUGUUAAAGAUUUCUCGAUGUAAGCUGGGCAUGCGUCCAAUUAGCUAGUUGGUGAGGUAACGGCUCACCAAGGCAAUGAUUGGUAGGGGAACUGAGAGGUCAAUCCCCCACACUGGAACUGAGAUACGGGCCAGAGUCCUAGGGGAGGCAGCAGUAGGGAAUAUUGGGCAAUGGACGCAAGUCUGACCCAGCCAUGCCGGGUGCAGGAUGAAGGCGUUAUGCGUUGUAAACUGCUUUUAUACAGGAAGAAACGACUCUUGCGGGAGGCAUUGACGGUACUGUAUGAAUAAGCACCGGCUAACUCCGUGCCAGCCGCCGCCGUAAGAC
rnacentral:rRNA from 1 species